rnacentral:rRNA from 1 species
UUUCUAUAACAAAUCCACAUUUUGACCUCGGAUCAGGUAGGGAUACCCGCUGAACUUAAGCAUAU